AGUAGGUGAACCUGCGGAGGGAUCAUUACAAGUGACCCCGGUCUAACCACCGGGAUGUUCAUAACCCUUUGUUGUCCGACUCUGUUGCCUCCGGGGCGACCCUGCCUUCGGGCGGGGGCUCCGGGUGGACACUUCAAACUCUUGCGUAACUUUGCAGUCUGAGUAAACUUAAUUAAUAAAUUAAAACUUUUAACAACGGAUCUCUUGGUUCUGGCAUCGAUGAAGAACGCAGCGAAAUGCGAUAAGUAAUGUGAAUUGCAGAAUUCAGUGAAUCAUCGAAUCUUUGAACGCACAUUGCGCCCCCUGGUAUUCCGGGGGGCAUGCCUGUUCGAGCGUCAUUUCACCACUCAAGCCUCGCUUGGUAUUGGGCAACGCGGUCCGCCGCGUGCCUCAAAUCGACCGGCUGGGUCUUCUGUCCCCUAAGCGUUGUGGAAACUAUUCGCUAAAGGGUGUUCGGGAGGCUACGCCGUAAAACAACCCCAUUUCUAAGGUUGACCUCGGAUCAGGUAGGGAUACCCGCUGAACUUAAGCAUAUCAAUAAGCGGAGGA
rnacentral:rRNA from 1 species